rnacentral:rRNA from 1 species
CCCUACGGGAGGCAGCAGUAGGGAAUCUUCCACAAUGGACGAAAGUCUGAUGGAGCAACGCCGCGUGAGUGAAGAAGGGUUUCGGCUCGUAAAGCUCUGUUGGUAGUGAAGAAAGAUAGAGGUAGUAACUGGCCUUUAUUUGACGGUAAUUACUUAGAAAGUCACGGCUAACUACGUGACAGCAUCCGCGGUAAUACGUAGGUGGCAAGCGUUGUCCGGAUUUAUUGGGCGUAAAGCGAGUGCAGGCGUUUCAAUAAGUUUGAUGUGAAAGUCUUCGGCUCAACCGGAGAAUUGCAUCAGAAACUGUUGGACUUGAGUGCAGAAGAGGAGAGUGGAACUCGAUGUGUAGCGGUGGAAUGCGUAGAUAUGUGGAAGAACACCAGUGGAGAAGGCGGCUCUCUGGUCUGCAACUGACGCUGAGGCUCGAAAGCAUGGGUAGCGAACAGGAUUAGAUACCCUAGUAGUC